rnacentral:rRNA from 1 species
AACGAACGCUGGCGGCAGGCCUAACACAUGCAAGUCGAACGCCGUAGCAAUACGGAGUGGCAGACGGGUGAGUAACGCGUGGGAACAUACCCCUCGGUUCGGAAUAACUCAGGGAAACUUGAGCUAAUACCGGAUACGUCCGAGGUUUUAAUCGACCUUGGAGAAAGAUUUAUCGCCGGAGGAUUGGCCCGCGUCUGAUUAGCUUGUUGGUGAGGUAAUGGCUCACCAAGGCGACGAUCAGUAGCUGGUCUGAGAGGAUGAUCAGCCACAUUGGGACUGAGACACGGCCCAAACUCCUACGGGAGGCAGCAGUGGGGAAUAUUGGACAAUGGGCGAAAGCCUGAUCCAGCCAUGCCGCGUGAGUGAUGAAGGCCUUAGGGUUGUAAAGCUCUUUUACCCGGGAAGAUAAUGACGGUACCGGGAGAAUAAGCCCCGGCUAACUUCGUGCCAGCAGCCGCUGUAAC